rnacentral:rRNA from 1 species
UACGGAGGAUCCGAGCGUUAUCCGGAUCUAUUGGGUUUAAAGGGUGCGUAGGCGGUUUGAUAAGUUAGAGGUGAAAUGUCGGGGCUCAACCCCGAAACUGCCUCUAAUACUGUUGGACUAGAGAAUAGUUGCGGUAGGCGGAAUGUAUGGUGUAGCGGUGAAAUGCUUAGAGAUCAUACAGAACACCGAUUGCGAAGGCAGCUUACCAAACUAUAUCUGACGUUGAGGCACGAAAGCGUGGGUAGCAAACAGG